AUAAAGACGAUGAAGAGAAAAGUAAGUACUAAAACUUUCACAGAGAGUCCUGAUUUGGUGAAACAGGAUAAAGAUAAUAACUACUGAAAAUGGUCUUGGAGUUGCAUAGUUGAAUUGAUAUUACCCUUCAUUUGGGAUAAUAUCUUUAAAUUAUGACGAGUUCGCCCGUUAAAGCGAUAGAGUAUGAUGGUACUCGAAGAGGUUAAUAUUGUGAGAUAUUGAUGAAUUAAGGUGGUAACACGAAGUUUACAGCUUUCGUCCUUUUG
rnacentral:ncRNA from 1 species